rnacentral:lncRNA from 1 species
CAGAGUUCUCUCUUUGUAGUGACGACUAGGCAGUUCUGCCAGUGAGAGUGGGGCCACAGGCCUGGGAUUUGAACAGGAAGUGAGGCCAAUCCUAAAUGAAAUCAAACUGUGAAUAAAGGAGGAUUAAAAUAAAAAUUGACAGCAUAGUUCACAGAGCCAGUGCCGUGGUGCAGCUGCCUGGAACUCGCUGCCAUCAUACGCUUUGGACAGGAGACAUGAAACACUGCCUGGAUAGCUCCUGGCUGAGGAGGUUGUGAGAAGCGCAUUUGUCUGCACAUUGUGGUGCCUGUGACACCGGGAAGAGAUGGAGGUCACAGGGGGAAGAAAAACCCUGGAUUUCCAGAACACUGCUACCCCUCUCACCAAUUGGUCGCCAGUAUGGAGACUGAUUUCAUGAAGGUCCAGCGUCUGCUGCGGGCAGUGACCUCGGUCCCUUUCUGGGUCAAACGGCAGAGUGAAGCUGCAGCCAAAUUGAGGGUAAAUAACAGUCACAGCAGGAAGUAGGGAGAAUCCUGUACAGCUGAAACGAUCCUUGAGGAUCCCUGCCAUGACCUUGACAAAAAAAGCAAAAAGAAGACCCAGCAGAGCCAAG